UAAUACGGAGGAUCCAAGCGUUAUCCGGAUUUAUUGGGUUUAAAGGGUGCGUAGGCGGACUGUCAAGUCAGCGGUGAAAGUCCAUGGCUCAACCAUGGAAUUGCCGUUGAAACUGUCGGUCUUGAGUGUAGAUGAGGUAGGCGGAAUUCGUAGUGUAGCGGUGAAAUGCUUAGAUAUUACGAAGAACUCCAAUUGCGUAGGCAGCUUACCAGGCUACAACUGACGCUGAGGCACGAAGGUGCGGGGAUCAAACAGGAUUAGAUACCCUGGUAGUCCGCACAGUAAACGAUGAAUACUAGCUGUUGGCGAUAUACCGUCAGUGGCACAGCGAAAGCGUUAAGUAUUCCACCUGGGGAGUACGCCGGCAACGGUGAAACUCAAAGGAAUUGACGG
rnacentral:rRNA from 1 species